AUGUUGAGUGUGAAGAACAGUUCGAUAACCACCGUGCCCUCGACAUUGCCAAUCGGCUCUUCGCCAAUCGGCUCCGCAAUUGUGCACUUGCUGCCGUACUUGACAACUGCCACCACCUCGAGUCCCUUGAUCUGCGCCAGUGCUUCAACAUCCACAUCGAUGCAGAGCUGCGGGCGAAGUGUGCAAGGCUUAGAGACGUGA
rnacentral:rRNA from 1 species